rnacentral:rRNA from 1 species
GACGAACGCUGGCGGCGUGCCUAAUACAUGCAAGUUGAGCGAUGAAGAUUGGUGCUUGCCCCAAUUUGAAGAGCAGCGAACGGGUGAGUAACGCGUGGGGAAUCUGCCUUUGAGCGGGGGACAACAUUUGGAAACGAAUGCUGAUACCGCAUAACAACUUUAAACAUAAGUUUUAAGUUUGAAAGAUGCAAUUGCAUCACUCAAAGAUGAUCCCGCGUUGUAUUAGCUAGUUGGUGAGGUAAAGGCUCACCAAGGCGAUGAUACAUAGCCGACCUGAGAGGGUGAUCGGCCACAUUGGGACUGAGACACGGCCCAAACUCCUACGGGAGGCAGCAGUAGGGAAUCUUCGGCAAUGGACGAAAGUCUGACCGAGCAACGCCGCGUGAGUGAAGAAGGUUUUCGGAUCGUAAAACUCUGUUGGUAGAGAAGAACGUUGGUGAGAGUGGAAAGCUCAUCAAGUGACGGUAACUACCCAGAAAGGGACGGCUAACUACGUG